CAGAAUCUCCCUAUCUCUCCUCUCAUAGAAUUUUUCGGAAUCUCUAGAAUCUCUCUAGAAUCCCGAAUCUUCGUACACCCAAGUUGUGAGUUGCCAACCCCCGGUUUUCCAUUAAAACCUCAUUUUUUUUUUUUUCAAUACUAAAGACUUGUGAGCC